AAUGCGCAGAGAUUCGCCCGAAGUGGGCAAAGGCACACUAUCGGCUAGGCGCAGCUUUUAUGUGCAUGAAGGAUUAUAACAGUGCCUAUCAGUCUCUCUCACGCGCUUUGGAGCUAAACCCUGAAAGCGAAGAGGUCGAGAAAUUAUUCUGGGAGGCAAUGGAACUGAGGAGUUAAACUCCGCACGCCAACUACAGAGAGAAGCUCGCAUGGAACGUGAAGAUCUUUUUUGGUCCUGUUAGGCAAAAACACUUAACUUUGAACUAUGUUGCCCCUUUUUACAUGUAAUUCAUGGACUGUAGCAGAAGCUUACCUUAGAGCAAAACAUGCUACAACCUUGUCAUUUUGAGCUUUGUGAAACUCUC